UUGUUUCCUGUUAUUAUCAGGUAGUGGACAUUAGAGGCAGAACAGUGAGCUCUGUAGUAUUUCUGGUACAGUUAUCAAACUACUUGGUGUUGUCAAGUUAGUUCUCUGUUGUUAUUGGUAUUAACCUGGAAAAGAUGUUGUAUUGGUUAUUGUUGUUUCUUGUUGGCCUCUCUUUUUGGUGCUGAGAGUGAGAGGAGGUGUGUAUGGUGCUACUAAAUUGCAGUGGCUUAUUGUUGAGUGAUUGGUGUGGGAUAAAGA
rnacentral:lncRNA from 1 species